GGCUGGUAUGUCACAUUCUCCAGCAACUCUACUACUGGUCCCUGUCACUGAGUCCUGAGCACAUCAGGUUAUACAUUGGACUUGGGCAGAAACCUGAAGGAUGAGAGAAUUCAUCUUUUGUCUCUAUUAUAGGUUUCUGGGGGCUUUGAGGCUGGGAUAAAGGAGGAGUGGGGAAACUGAGGCCUGAAAGAAGGCACAUGCCGAGGUCCACAUGGACAUUUGGACCCAGGUCUGAGGCUCACUUCUGCCAUUGCCCUUGCCUCUUUCUUCAAGCCAGUGGAUUUCAGAAUGUAAGCAGUGUGUCAUUCCAUGGGUCUUGUAUGUAGUGGACAUAGUGGAUGGUAGACAGCAUUUAAAAAAUGAAGUAGGAUGGAUAGUCUCAGAGUCUUUCAUACCUGGUGAAGGGAAGACUUGGGUCCCGAAACAGCAGUGCAUGUGUAUGUGUGUUUGCACAUUCACAGUGCCACUUGCUCCGGCUUGUGAUGUGAAAACUAUUAAAGUGUGUGGUGCACAUGCCCUGUGUGGAGGGUCGGUGAUUCACAGCUCCGGCAACUGCUGCCUUCUGGGGACCUGGACUCAGAUGGCCAGAUGUUCUCACUCUUCAAGGCAAGUUCCCAAAGUACAUUUAGAUGUAAAAUCUCCCAGUUUUAAGAAGUGAUUAAAUAAAACUUUUUAACCACAGGUAUGAGCCAACCUCAAAGCCUGUGGCCUUAAGCCUGCCAUGGAAGGCCCACAGCUCAUGCCCUUUUAUCCAUCCCUGCUCCUUACUGGCCCUGGCCCCAAGGACACGUGGCAGAAGCCAGGACUUCUUUCUCAUUGGCCCAGCUGCCUCUGUUCCUUCUGUUUCUCUGGUGUUUAGGAAAACCAGAGCUAGCAAAUCUGUCAGACAUGGUCACUUAAUGGGCAGAGAUCAGUAGGGAAUGGACUUUCAUUUAAGAGGCGGGUUGGGGACACCAGCAAGAGAUGAUGGGUAGCACUUGGCUGGCUGGCAGAGGCCCCAUCAGGCCUACAACAGACUUCCUGGGUCCUGGGUCCUUCCCCUAGGUCUUCAGGUACUUCUGGUGAGACCUUGGGUAAGUGACAUCACCUCCCUGGGUUUCAUCUGCCUCAGCAGAUCCCUACAUUUCUUCCCUCACAGGGCUGCCAUACCAAAAGAAUCAGGACACAUAAAGCUUCCAGCUUAGUGCCCGCUCACCCAGGGCUCUCAGAAAACAAUUUUCCUUCUGAUCUCAUAUCUUACAAAGUUCAGUGCUUCUAGAAUUCUAGCCUUGCAAGGAGUUUGGCAAGGUAUAGUUUGGGAAACUAAUCCUUAUGAGACCAUCACUUCAAUUGCCAGACACAAGAUUGGGGUCCCCAUAACCAUCCUUACUUUGAAAUGCCAGACUCCCAUGUCCUCAGGAUGCAUCAGUCUUCUGUAAUGAGGUUAGUAGCAGUCAGCACAGAGUGUUGCCAACCAGAGAGUCUUUGAUGUCCAGCAUUUUUAUUGGAGCUCAGUAAUAUACUGUCAGUGUGGCUGACCUUUACUGUACUUUCUGGAGGUCUGAACUAAUAUGACAUGUUCCAAAGGCCCCCAUCAUGGUGAGCGGGAGCUCACACUUGUGAUCACAUGUCAGCCUGCAUAUCUUCCACCCUUAGUUGACCAGGGUUUCAAUUGCCAGUUCUAGUUUUCUAUCUAGCUAUUAUCCCAAGGAAGAUCUACCCAUUAUUGGACCCUGUGGGCUGUAAAGGAUGUUCCUUUAGUCUGAAGAAAUGUGAGUUGGCAGUCCAAAUUGGCACACUAUCUCCUGUGCCGGUAACUCUUGACAAUAUUGUGGGCAUUUCCACUAACCACUGGGCUAGGCAUACAAAACUCAGUCCAGACUCAUUCGCAGUGUCCUGGGGCUUUCAUAAUUAGGCCAUUCACCAGCAGUGGGCAGGAACUUUCCCCUGGGGAAUCUGCUCAUGGCCAUCUGUAGUUUUUGUCUCUUAAUUGACAAGACACUUGUUGACAUUUUGUGCUUCAGAGCAGGCAAGAAGAGUAUGUCUAGCUUCAACCAGUUACUGCAUUGCUACUGCCUCCAAAUUUCCACUUGUUUCAUGGACCAGGGUGGCCACCUGCUUGUUAAUUCCAAUCACUUUCUGAUCCUAGAAGGGAGUUCUUUUGAUGGGCAUCAACAUGUCCUAUUUUAAUGCACCCCUCAAAUCCCCCUAGUGAUUUCCAUAGAGCUGGGUCCACAUAGGCAUCCCUUUAGUAGACCAGGUUUUCAUUGCCCUUCUUCCAGACCACACCAUUAGCCAUCACCCAUGAGUCAAUGAAAAACCAAACAUGGGGCAAAUAGCAUGCAAGUCAGCCUACUCUGCCAACUUGUUUUUACUUUCUUCCAUCAGAGGUAGCAUUCCAACAGGAUGCUGUCCAUAUACCUUGAAACUACCAUUCAUAAACCAAACAGCUCUUUUUUGAUCAAGAGCUUUCAUAGGGUAUCACCCAAAUGACUAUAGGAUCUUGCAGCUCCUCAGGUAGAACCUCAGAUGAUUCCAAAGUCAGCCAUAGGGGAGAAAUCUUUUUGUUUGUGAUUAUGCCAAGUACCUUAUAGCAUUCCCCUGGUAGCAUCUUCCUGCAAAAACUUUUUUCAUUUUAUUACAGAACUCUUCUGGACACUGCCCUCCCCAUUAGGGUAUUUCCUUAACAUCACCCAAGACAUGGGUAUUUCAGAUUAUUUUACAGCUUUCAGUCAGAAGAGCAGUCCCAGUCAAGGUCCAUGUCUAACGUGUAAUUGUCUCUCAAAUGGAAAAUUUCUGGACCCAAAUCCUAGUGGUCACUCCUGGGUGGCACUCAUAGGCUUUGUCAUAAGCCCCAGUUUGCAGGAGGACUUCAGGCCUUCUUUUGAUCAGUUUCAUGAGUAAGAGCUAGCAGUGUUCCCAGAUAUGGAAUAUGUGUCCUCCAAAACUCAAAUAAACUGACUAGUUGCUAGUUUUCUAACAUGUUUUGUCCACCAGUAUCCAAUAUUGCCUGAAGGAUAAAUUUACAUGUCUUCUGUUUUGCAGGUAAGCAGGGGAAGCGUUCCCUAGUCAGACAUGGUGUCUGUCCUCAUAAUAGAUUCAAGUCAAGGCGGUGCAACCGCUUCACAGAGUCUGUUCAAGCAUUCUAGUGUUCAUCUAAGUGUUCACCUUAAUCCCAUCAGCUAUUAGAGUUCUGUAUCCUCCCAAACUAACUGUAGCCACACUAGGAGAUUACCAGUAGGUUUUAGAAUCACAAUGCAUUGAGAUCCCAUUAAGCAAGUCCCAGGGGUGACACAUGGGCCAGAGAGCAUGUUCACCCACUUACCAAAGCACCAAAGCAGGUCUGGCUACUGAUGCCUCUGAAUGCAACAAAGAUGAACACUGAACCUAAGUACGUCACUGGACACUUGGAAGCAAGGCGACAACUUUGUCUCCCUUCCACCUUGGGGUAGAUGGCCUGUUCACCAAGAAGCACUAUCUGGGGACUUGCAGAGUGUCUGACUCCCCAGCACAGCAUAGGGUUUGGUCAGGGUCCUGCUCCACAGUGAAGGAGCUGAGAAACUGGCUCAGGACCCUGGGACCCACUGGUACUUCACACACCUGCACCAUGUGACCCAGAGGCAACCAGCCUCAUAGGGUGUGGAAAUGGCCUAAAGGUGGAUGGAACAAGGGCUUGAGUGAAACACUACAAAACAAUGGGGUGCCACCCUGUUUAAUGCAGCACAGUAAACCUGACACCUCAUAUGGAACUAUUCCUAAGGAAGGAUAAGCUGUCUGGAAUCCAAGGAAUGGAAAUAGGAAUGGCCCUGCUUGUCGUCACUUUAGUGGCCACUGAGUGGCCAUCGAUUCUCACUUCCAAACAUGUGCCAAGCUGAGGGGCAUGUGAUGCUGUUGGUCUGUGUGCAGGUGGGGGUGUCUGAGCACCACACAGGCACAAAGGCUUGCUUCAUCUAAGUCACUGAGCCACACAAACCAGGGCCCCAUCUGGCAAGCCAACGUCCACAUGCUCCAUUGCUUGCAAGGAUGGCAUAAUAUUUAGAAGAGUUUUGAGACAACAUGUAAACAUUGAGAAUUUUCACAUAAAUUUUUAAGUUUUGAGGUUUUCUGGAAACCCCAGGCUUUCUCUUUUUUUUCCCCAAAGUAAAGUUGUUUUCUUAAAAUAUUUGGUUUCUGCAAAAUAGACCCAGAUCACUGCAAAGCCCUUUUCUUACAGGAAAAGCUGUCCUGUGAUGGGCUGGGAAGCUGAAGGUGAGCAACCUGGCACUGGAGGGGCUGGAAGCCACUGAACUGCAAGUUGGGAGCUGCUGGUGGACAUUUUGCCACUACAGGGGAAACUCUGCCAAAGAAUGAAGCCACACGGACCGAAGCAGUGCUAAAAGAAGAAAAGAGAUAGUCCUGAUGACAGCUCUUAGAAGAUGUUCAGCCUUGUCUGAAUCCGAAUCUACCACCGAGCUCUUCAUUUGCAUGUGCCAAUAUUUUCUACUUCUCCAUUUUUAAUUUAUUUUUUUCCUAAUUUUAUUGAGGCAUAAUUGAUGAUUAAAACUGUAAGAUACUUAAA